CAGACCAGCAACUACUGCGCCUGUCCAACAAAAUAAGAGGCCCGGACCGGCGAUCCAGGCUCCCCCUCAGGCUCCAGGGGCAGCACGUGGCAAGAUCUGUCAACACUGCGAUAGGGAUCACGGGGACCGACCAUGUUAUCGCCUCAAAAACACCUGUUGCAUAUCUGAUAGUGCCCAACACUAUGCAAGAGAGUGGCCGAGGAACCAGAACCAAAGAAGACUU
rnacentral:lncRNA from 1 species